rnacentral:misc_RNA from 1 species
GGAUCUUUGCUUGUGCAACGACGUCCGCCUUUACUAGCUUCUUCAUUGUUGGUACAAGCGUUUUGCAGCUUUGGCCCUCUUCGGUUUCCUGUGUUGUAUACCGUUCCACGGAAUUGUAUAGUUUGAAAUGCCCCUAGUUCGUCAUGUGAUGCCUGCUCUAAGCUUGUGCGUCGCUGAUGAAUCAUGAAGUGCCCGUUGCCGUCCUUCUCAACCACGAUAACACGUGUGUUGCAUGAGGCCUGUGACGAAGUGCUUGUACUCACGGAUGCGGAACCCUCUUAGGGUAUGGGGCUCGUCCCCUUGUUGCCCAAAAUCAAGCGUUCAACGCUAUUUCGCGAACGACCGUCGUUGUCGUCUUGGGCCGGUUGUCUCUACGAGUCGUGCUGCGCCCGAGCGUCAUUGACGUCGAUGAGGA